GCUCCACAUGACGUAGUUGUAUAAAUAAGCACUUGCAGCUCUCCUUGCCCCAAUCAAGUCUGAAUCAAUGCCUCGGGGUGAUGCGCGAGCUCAUUUCAGAUGUUCACCCAUGCAUGGAUUCGGGAAGAUUGAGGCACUUCUGAGGCUCUUUGAAUUACUUGGGAAAUGUAGACAGCGUCGGAAUAGCAUGUUUAAAGCGAUCCCUUUUGUAAAAUCCCUUCAGAUGAACAGUGAUAAUUAUUCUGUGGCGGCAAGGAGUGCUGUUCCGUGCACAUCUGGAUGUAGGAUUGAAGUGAGUUACCCCCGCCAUGACAGAGGACGGAAACACCCGCUUCUACGCCCCCUACUGGUCAGAGCACCAACUUGUUCUGUACAGCUGAAGUUUAGGAGUGAGGCUGAAUUAGAAGAUCACCCAACACAUGAGGCAGAAAAGUAUAGAUUAAGAUAAAUUAUUGAUUUGACACAAUAUUUAUAAAUAUUUUAUAUAAAUGAGUCUUCCUCCAGCAAGAAAAGAAAAUCCGAGUUUGCUUUUAAGUUUGAGCAUCAGAUAAAAAACCAAGGAACCAGCGAGUCAUGAAUCAGACAUGCAGCACAAGCAGACCUAAAGACCUAAAUUGCUUUUGAGGACGGGCCAACUGCACCAUCUUGAUGAUUGUGGAGCGAUUAACCCCAGCGUUCAGGGAUACGAGGCUACAAAUGCACUGUGCGCGCGCACACCUGAGGCCCGUUCCACGCAAAUGGAUCCCAUUCGGUGUGAGAUCCUCUCAUCCGUAUUCCAAAUAUGCAUCAGAUGUUGCCUAACUAAGCAACGCAUGAGGCGCCUGGUGCCAAAAGACAAACUCAUUGUUCCAGCGCUGUCCUGGGCUUGCGCCGCAGUGUGGUGGACAAAUUAUCCGGAUUGGUUGCAGAUGUGCGUUCGCCCCGAACACAAACCGCCUCGCCUGAAUGACAUCACGAGCUCGCGAGAGCGUGCGAAACCAAGAAGGGAAGAGAGAGAAGAACCCUGGAGAACGUGUGGAGCUCUGGGGCGGGUAUUAAUCUGCUGAUCAGUCCCCACUGUUAGCAUUGAAACCCACAGGCCGCUGCUCCUCAAAACCAACACAGUUGAGUCUAAAGCUGCAGUUUGACACAGUUGGUGAACUGGAAGCACUGUGUUACGGUCUGAGCCGCACGACUCCAUAUUUUAGUGGCCGGGAGCGAAACAGUCUUCAGGCCUGAACAACUCCAUCACCUCCGGUUUGAGCGAAGACGGCGGAAUAUUUCGGCGCCGCGUGAGCAGCUGCUUCACCUACCGACGGACACUCGGGCUCCGGCGAAUAAAUACGAGGCGCCGGUGCAGCCUCGGUCCAUAUUAAUAACUCCCACUCCACUCGCCACACCCCUCUAAUGGCCCGUGGUUAUGUAAGGGAGUGGGAUGGAUGAGGGAGAGGGCCGAAGCUGCUCCAGAGCCUGACUCAAUCUGCCCCGCGGGGUUGCACAGUUUUAGGCCACAACUCUUCAUCAAGUACUGAAAAUACUUCAUCAGACUUGGAGAAUGACUCCGGUUGGAUGAUCAGGUAAAUCUAUAUAAAAGCGCCAGCAUAAAUAUGCACAAUAUUUAGCAUGUGUUAAAUAUUAAUCACGCUCUUUUGUUCAGCUACUAAAGGCACAUUGUAAACACAAGACACGCACUCGUGCCUUUCUCCAGAAACUUCCUUUGGCAAACACGGCGCGCGAGUGGCUGGGAACCACUUCGCACCGAGACGAAAGUGAUCGAAGGCGAAGGUUUUCCCCCGACGUAACCUUUCUCUGUAACCGAGAGACGAGGGGCGAUGCUGCGUGUCAUCCCUCGCAGCCCCACUCACCAGUUCAACCAUCCCACCCACAGUGGACAGAGGAGUCACUGUCACCACUGUGAGGGGAGGAGAGACAAGGGUGGGGGAGGGGGUGUUUGGGUAAUGCUGGGAGGCUCUAAUAAAAUGUAAUCCUAUUAUAUGGUUCCCACUAGAGGGCAACAAUAAUAAAGGUUUCCCUAAUAACACAAGCAGACCAAACCCAAAUGGAAAACAGCUCCUCCGGUAAAGUCCCACACUUGUACAUAUAUCCUCUCAUUAACCCAGUUGCUGUUGGGCCAAAUUACACCGACAGGCCUUCGAGAUUCAGUUGCGAUGGCGAAGCAAGAGUUAAGUCAAACAAAUGUGUUUCAUCAAACUGCAGUUUGGGCUCCUCUGCAUAAAGGAAUUGAAGCGGGAAGAGGCGGAGUGAGGGAAUGUGUGCGGGUGAGAAGUUGGAAGCGGAGCCCCGAGGAAACCAAUCAGAGCCUCGGCCCCCUCCCUUCCUGAGUCAAAGCCACCGGGGUCUCAGGUGUGCCUUACAUGAGCUAAUACCUUCCAAACCUGAUUGUUUGUGUUAGAGUAAUCAGACUUUUCUAAAUUAUCAUUUUGGAAAUGAAGGUCCCGCCGUCGAUAAACAAAAUAUAGUGGGGCGACUUCACAACCUACAAAUGUGACGACAAGAGUUCCAUCGUCCAGAUGAUCACGAAGUUUAAAUCUUCCUCGUGGACCAGACUGGGGGAAAGGUUUCCAGCUUUGAAGAAUAUGGAGUUUGAUCCGGUGAGGGGCUCCACGAACACUGGAAAAGUUAAAAGAGGCCGAUGUUAACGAGAAGUGGCAGCGAAAGGACGUAAACACAAACUCCCGUAUUUAUGUGAUUUGAUAAAGUAAUGAAGGAGUUGCUCCACUUCUGAGCUGUCGCACGCAAAUGCAGCCAAAUAUUUAUCACAAGUGACAAGCAUCAGACGGAGGGAGAGAGAGUGUCGCAUGCCUUCCUGUUCCUGUACCAGCCUCCAACCCCAGAGCCGCAGACUCAAGGCAGUUUCCAGAAUCAAACAAUUUCACGCAGCUACUGGAGGAGGAAAUGAACUGAGCCCAGAGCAAUAAUAAAAUUAUACAAAUGUUA